CAAAGUUGGAACGGUUGUUGAAAUGUGCCUUCGUACAAUUGCCUACUUAACCUCUUGUGGAUUAUAAUAUAGCAUAUAUUUAGGGUUUGAAGUCGCCAACGGGUCAGCAUAGUGUUUCAGACUUGGCGUCUUCAUCAAUAUUUCCGACAUCGUUCAAAAUAUUUGCUUCACCACUCUCCGUCUCGUCUUCCUAAAAUGCCAAUGUAACAAAAUCCAAAUCGAGUGAUCGCGUCAGCCACGGAGCAGAGAUGGGGUGCAUCGUAUCAGCCAUAUUGAACCUCCCUCGAAGACUGCCACUUACCAUCCACGGCUAAUA